CACCAGUCUAGUACAUAACUCUACUCUCUCCCUGACCCCCACCAGUCUAGUACAUAACUCAACUCUCUCCCUGACCCCCACAUGUAUUUCUACACACCCCAUUUAGCCAUACCCCUAGUUUAGCUGUAUUUCUACACACCCCAUUUAGCCAUACCCUAGUUUAGCUGUAUUUCUACACACCCCAUUUAGCCAUACCCUAGGUUUAGCUGUAUUUCUAAGAUUUGGUAUGGGUACUCAGAUCCUCAAAAGGUUCUACAGCUGCACCAUCGAG
rnacentral:lncRNA from 1 species